rnacentral:lncRNA from 10 species
GCAAUGUGUAUCAAGAAACAACAACAAAAAAUUAUACCCUUUGAACCAGAAAUACAUUACAGCCCAGUGCUUCCUACAGGAACUGAAAAACCAGAUGGCCUGGAUUUGAAUUCCGGCUUCCACCUCCUACAGGCUCUGUGAGCUUGGCAAGCUCCUUAACCUCCCUGUGCCUCAGUUUCCUCGGCUGUAAGAUGGGGACAAUGGUACCUACCUCACACAAAUUUUUGAGAAUUG